AAGUCGUAACAAGGUUUCCGUAGGUGAACCUGCGGAAGGAUCAUUAAUGGGUUCAUGGCCUCCGGGCCGCAAUCCCCACCCUUCGCAACCGCGGCCACGAUUCGGCGCCAGGGCGGGGCCCCCUCUGUUCGCGGAGGGCCCCCGCCCGCCGGAAUCACGCAACCCUGCCUGAAAAAUGCAGUCUGAGAAAACGAAAAAUUAGCGAAAACUUUCAACAACGGAUCUCUUGGUUCUG
rnacentral:misc_RNA from 1 species